rnacentral:rRNA from 1 species
UACGGAAGAUGCGAGCGUUAUCCGGAUUUAUUGGGUUUAAAGGGUGCGUAGGCGGACGCUUAAGUCAGCGGUAAAAUUUCGGGGCUCAACCCCGUCGUGCCGUUGAAACUGACGCCCUUGAGUGAGUGAGAAGUAAGCGGAAUGCGUGGUGUAGCGGUGAAAUGCUUAGAGAUCAUACAGAACACCGAUUGCGAAGGCAGCAUACCGGCGCCCAACUGACGCUGAAGCACGAAAGCGUGGGUAUCGAACAGG